UCUCCUCACUCCUCAAACUCUAGAGAGAGAGAGAGAGAGAGAGAGAGAGAGACCGUGAGAGGCCGAACCCCGGAGAAUCCCCAACCCUACUUCCCCAAAUCCCCCUCGAAAUCGCAUCUCCCCAACCAUUCCGAUCCCAGUCCCUGCCACACCCUCGUCGUCCUCCUCCGAUUCGGCGCCGAUUAGGGUUUCGAAAGCUGCAUAAUGGGUUUGCUCUUCGUGGAGUCGCUCCCCGACCAGGAACUGUUCAGGUGCGGAUUGUGCGAGGUCGUUAUCGCUUCCGCCGACGCGAUCAUGUCCACGAACUUCACCGGCCGCUUCGGCGCCGCUUGCCUCAUGGACAGAGUGUAUGUGCUCUCCCUCCUCUACCAGCUACAAUGGUGUUUGGGAUCGUGGUGGUAUAAUCUUCGGAAGCUCGCAUGUAAUGGAUGAUGUGAUAUUGUUGAAUCUUGAUUUGAUUUGGUUUUCAGUUUGAGUAUUUGUGGUGUAAUUUCAGAGUGAAUACAACCUCGAGCCAAACUGAGACUAAGCAAAUGUUGACUGGCACUUAUGACGUGAGCGACAUCCAUUGCAGCUCUUGCCAACAAUUGCUUGGCUGGAGAUAUGACCGUGCAUUCAGUGAAGACCAAAAAUUCAAGGAAGGGAAGUAUGUUUUGGAGUUGAGUAGAGUAGUAAAACAUGGCUGGUAAUGCAUAUAGGCGGUGCUAGAGAUGAAGCUCGAAGUCUAUGUGUCGGCGUUGUGGUAGAGAAUUGGCAAUUGCCGACAUGAACUUGUGAGCAAAUACGAUUUUUCAUAGUUUUUGUUGACUUGGACUAAGAUUUAGAGUUCAGAUUGUUGCUUGGCUAAAACGGGAGGAGAAACUGAACUGAAGGUUGUCUUGGCUUGAUGUGCUACUGCAUUUGGUAGCGAAUUAGUUAGUAUUGGAGCCAAACCCUGAUGCUUGAUAUGGACAUCUAAUUCAGUGUCCUAAAGAAGAAGUUCUCUUUGACUAGAACUGUUGCUCAAAACAAGCUCUAACAGCUUUUGUUGUCUAAAACCCUCAAAUAGCUAUUGGUUUUAGCUUAAGCAGAGGCUUAUAGCGACGGGCUAACUUUGUUUGCUUGCUCCAACCAGAAACUUUUUACUUUUUAUUUGUUGAGCAUCUGAUCUCUUUUCUUGGAGGAAGCUGUUCUAAAAGUUGGGGCCAAACAAGCAGAAAGAAUGUGACUUUGGGAUUGAAUCUUUUCAUGUGUAUGAGAUUUGGUCACCAUGUUUCGGAUGGAAAGGUCUGCGGAAAGUACUGUCAAAACAAGCUGCCUUAAGUGUAGAUUUUGCCAUUUGAGAAAGCUUUUAGAGUUAAGAAGGGCCUACAAAUCAUAACUAAUGAUUCAGUUUUCUAAAUUCACAAUUAAAAAAAAAGAUCAAAUAACUAUAAUUGCGGAUUAAAUUGCAAUUUUCUAGCUUCAUUUUAUUUUCACUUGUAGCUUUUCCUUCUGAAGCAGGUUGUAAAUUUUGAUUAAAUGUGCUUUCUUUUCUUUUACCUUUUUUUCGGGGAGUUUCAGUUAGUUCGGAUAUACUUUUCUUUCUAACUAUUAUUAGUUUUUUUGGGAUAUGUUAGCAUUAUGAUCGAGACAUUAUUCUACUUCUGUAUAUUUUGUUCCAGUUUUGUUUUGUUAUGUUUGAAAUUUGUAGUCUAAGCAUAAACUAUGUUUCGAUUAUGACUGUGCGAGGGGGUGUGUCAAUAUUUAAGCCAUUCCAAUGUAGAUGUAAUUUUAGAAAUGUGUAUGUAUUAUA